rnacentral:rRNA from 1 species
GCUGGGUUUAGAACGUCGUGAGACAGUUCGGUCCCUAUCUGCCGUGGGUGUAGGAAACUUGAGAGGAUCUGUCCCUAGUACGAGAGGACCGGGAUGGACGUACCUCUGGUGUACCAGUUGUUCCGCCAGGAGCACCGCUGGGUAGCUAAGUACGGACAGGAUAACCGCUGAAAGCAUCUAAGCGGGAAACCCACCUCAAAACCAGGUUUCCCUUGAGAACCGUGGUAGACCACCACGUUGAUAGGCCAGGUGUGUAAGCGCAGUGAUGCGUGUAGCUAACUGGUACUAAUUGUUCGAUAGGCUUGAGAUU